rnacentral:rRNA from 1 species
AGGACGAACGCUGGCGGCGUGCUUAACACAUGCAAGUCGAGCGGUAAGGCUCCUUCGGGAGUACACGAGCGGCGAACGGGUGAGUAACACGUGAGUAAUCUGCCCUUGACUCUGGGAUAACUUCGGGAAACCGUGGCUAAUACCGGAUAUGACGCAUGGUCGCAUGGUCUGUGUGUGGAAAGAUUUAUUGGUCAGGGAUGAGCUCGCGGCCUAUCAGCUUGUUGGUGGGGUAAUGGCCUACCAAGGCGACGACGGGUA